GACGAACGCUGGCGGCGUGCCUAACACAUGCAAGUCGAGCGGAGUCGAUCGACGGAAGCCUUCGGGCGGAAGAUGGUUGACUUAGCGGCGGAUGGGUGAGUAACGCGUGGGCAACCUGCCUCGAAGACCGGGAUAACAGCCCGAAAGGGCUGCUAAUACCGGAUGUGGUCAAGGAUCCGCAUGGAUUUUUGAUUAAAGGGGAAACCCGUUUCGAGAUGGGCCCGCGUCCUAUCAGCUAGUUGGUGAGGUAAAAGCUCACCAAGGCGACGACGGGUAGCCGGCCUGAGAGGGUGACCGGCCACACUGGAACUGAGACACGGUCCAGACUCCUACGGGGGGCAGCAGUGGGGGAAUCUUCCACAAUGGGCGAAAGCCUGAUGGAGCGACGCCGCGUGAGCGAAGAAGGCCUUCGGGUUGUAAAGCUCUGUCUGGAGGGACGGAAGGAAGGUAGACGGUAACCGUCCCGGAGGAAGACCGACGGCUAACUAACGUGCCAGCAGCCGCGGUAAGAGUAGUACA
rnacentral:rRNA from 1 species